GAUGAACGCUGGCGGCGUGCCUAAUACAUGCAAGUCGAGCGAACAGACGAGGAGCUUGCUCCUCUGACGUUAGCGGCGGACGGGUGAGUAACACGUGGAUAACCUACCUAUAAGACUGGGAUAACUUCGGGAAACCGGAGCUAAUACCGGAUAAUAUAUUGAACCGCAUUGUUCAAUAGUGAAAGACGGUUUUGCUGUCACUUAUAGAUGCAUCCGCGCCGUAUUAGCUAGUUGGUAAGGUAACGGCUUACCAAGGCGACGAUGCGUAGCCGAACUGAGAGGGUGAUCGGCCACACUGGAACUGAGACACGGUCAAGACUCCUAAGGGAGGCAGCAGUAGGGAAUCUUCCGCAAUGGGCGAAAGCCUGACGGAGCAACGCCGCGUGAGUGAUGAAGGUCUUCGGAUCGUAAAACUCUGUUAUUAGGGAAGAACAAAUGUGUAAGUAACUAUGCACGUCUUGACGGUACCUAAUCAGAAAGCAACGGCUAACUACGUG
rnacentral:rRNA from 1 species